GGGGUACAAAUACCCUCUUUGAAGGAACUAAAAAGCAAAUUGCUGGUCUGAAUAGAAGCCAAAUGGAAACUUGGUGGAAGAUGGGACAUUUAGAGUUUACGGAAGGUGGCAAAAAAGUGCUUUAA
rfam:Nipponia nippon contig69359, whole genome shotgun sequence.